rnacentral:lncRNA from 1 species
UUUUUUUUUUUUUUACAAAGAAGUUUAAUGAAGUCCUAGCAAAUAUAAUUUUAAUGUCAUAAGGUGUGCAACAGUAACAAAUGUUACAAAGUAUAUAACCAGCCACUUCCAAGUUAAAGGUUGUAGGAAGCACAUCAAACUGAUCACACCCUUAAAACUGUUCUGAAUUGUGCAAGUUUCUUUAUAUCAUUUUUGGAAAAUCUUACUCUAGUGAUGGGAUCUCACCCCAACACUCUUCCCAGUUUCUUACAUUUGAAGGAAAAAUCCAAUGCAGCAUAUAUAUAUACAUCUAUAGAACAAUAAGAUAUUAACAUAGUUGUCAGUUGUAACCAAAAUUGUAUCAAAAGUAUAAACAUUCCAAAAUAGCUCUAGGAUCAUUAUAAUUUGGGUUAUUUAUCAUAGUUGUUUUCAAACUGGUCAUGGACUACAUUUGCUGUUUUAAACCAGCAAGAAGUGCAUAGUGAGGAGCAUUUCUGCCCCUGUAGCCCUUGGAUAAAGUUUGGAACAGAGAGAUGUUACAGCUCACGGUGCCUCUGCUUACCAACCAGAUUAGUUCAGACCUUCCCAUGUCUUCAAGGGCUUCCAUUCAUUUGAGAGACAUACUUUUUCUAAUUUGUUGCUUAUUUGAAACUUCCCUGAAAUUUGGAAGUAUUUGAAACUUCCCCAGCUUUGGGGCUCAGAGACCCACCAGCAGCUCUGCCACAUUUUUAUAUUCCUAGCUGAAGUGCCUACGUUGCUAGACUCUUUGCACCUCUCCUGUGUGCUUAUUUACUUUCAGGCAAGUAGCCUGAAAGGGGAAGUAUCUAGAGGUCUAAAAUAGGUCAGAUGAACCUCUCCUUAACAUAUGUAUAUAUUUUACCUUUUCCUUCUUUUUCUUUAUUCAUCUUGGAGUGACUCACUCCAACAUCUGACUUGUGGGUAAGUAAAAAUAGGAGAGACAAAUCUCAUCUUUUCCUUAAAAAUGAUUCUUGUAUUGCAGGUGACUUCAGUACAAGAUAAUGACACAGAACCAAUAGGGUGGUUCAUGUGGUUUGAUUUGAUUCAAGGCAAGCUAACAUCUGACACCACACAGUGCAAAUGCUCUUUUAUUACCUUUGCCAUUUUUUGGUGGCAAUUUCUCAUUUUUCAAAAGUGAAUAAUAGAAUAUCUAUAAUUCCUAAAUUUCACUUAUACCUUCAAAUUAAAUUAAUAAAAUUAAAAAGACAGUGCAACCUUUCAUAUUUAAAAGGUAGUGUGUGGUUCCCCCCCUCACACAGCCCCCUGAAUAAUCAGGCUAGUUUAGAGAUCAGAGGCUGUGAGGGGAGGAAUAACAGGAGAAGGCAAAGAUUUCCAAAAUAGGCUCUUACCCCGAGAUUAGUUGGUUCAGCUCUCUUUAUUCUGUGAUGUCCUUGGGGGAAAGCGGGGCAAAAGAGAAUGAACAGGAAAUGUCAGGGGUCUAUACAGACUUUGGACAGGGUGGGCUUCCCUGGCUCUCCGCCAACCCCCUUGGGGCAGGAAGGAGGGGUCCAGGGGUUAUCUUGAUCAGAGUCACAGGGUCUUGGGGAAGGGGAAACAGAAUGCCCAUGCGCUCACUGUAACAGUAGUGAUGAUAAAAAUCUUAGCUUUAGAAAAAAAUUGAUUCAUAAAUAUAUGUGCAAUCCUUCUUUGCAUAAUACAAUUGGGUUGCAGACAUUAAAGGUGUCUCUUCUUUCAGAUAUUUUUUGCAACAUUUACAUUUUAUACAUCUUAAUCUCAUUAUAUUAUCUAUUCAAAAUAAUUAAAAGGCUCUGGAUGAGUGUAGAACAAAUUAUUACUCUUUCAAGGUCUGAGUAAGCGAUGGAUCAUAUAGGACACCUAUGGUGCAACCAUUUAAAAAUAUGUCAACAUUGAAGAAAUUUGUUAGGAAUAUGCUUUUCUGGUAUAAGGAAAAAAAAAUUAUUUUUCUAGGAAGAAAAACAGUAUCAUCAUUUGAAAUCAAAUAAUAACUGCCAAAUCAGCACAUGUCAGAAGAUAAAUUAGAAUCAAAGAAAUUCAAUGAACUUUUUUGGAAUUCAUGAUUUAAAAUCUACAUUGAUU